CCAACAUUUGGCUUUUUCCAUUUGUGGCAGAUCACUGUAACUCUAUUGUAAAACAACUUCCUGCCCCUUUUGGCUCAAGUUCCAGUAGCUGCUAGGCUAAGUUCAUAGCACAAACUUUUUUUCUCCUUGCCGAAGAAGCAAGACAAAAAAAAUCCUUGCUAAUUAUUUUGACCUCUUUUUUGCAAAUGGAUUCAUAAGAUGAAUUUAUUGCAGUCCCCUUAGCAAUGUUACAAAAGAGACGUCCGUAUACCAGCUGGAUAAUUCAUAAACUUAAAAGUGAGAGUAACUACUCAAGGGACCAACAAAAGUCAGUUGCAUAAUAGAGCUGGCCGUCAAAAUAAAGAUUUCAAUGAUGAAUGGAGAAUAUCAUACAGCAGAAACGGAUGGACAUGGGUAACAGAACAUAAUGCAAAUCUUUCAAAUGUGCUCCCAUCAAUUACUCAGCAUGGAGAGGAGCCAAAGCAUGAGGAAAAAAGAGUUCGGCUGGAUUGGGCUCCUGGGCCACUGAGGUCUUUCAACAUCUCUCCAACAUCACCUGGAUGGGCGUCUGGAGCGUUCAUGGAUGUCUCUCUUGCCAGACAACAAUGAGCUGAGUUGGAGUAGUGCAAAGCAUUAAAUACAGGGGAGGCCUGGAGCAGAAGUAUUAUUAAGCAAUAGUAAGCCUAAGGGCCAGAUUCCAUGACCCCCUUUGUUCUACCCACAUAAGGGCCAGGCAGAAAUUCAGUCCAGGAGCUCAAGGGAGCACCAAGACUUUUCCCUUUUCCCUUCCUACCAGCUGGGGGAACAUAAUGCCCCAAAAGAGGGCAGAGAGAGCUGGCCAGCUAGGCAGGAGGAAACUGUAUCCAACACCCAAGGAAGGAGUGCAGCAGUGUGUAUGCUCCCCAAGCACAAUGGCAGCUCCAGGUGAUCUCUGGGGGCAAUGCUCCUCCAAAGCACCCCUUACUACACAGACUAUUUGCAAAAUCUAGAAAGUUCUCUGUGGGACAGAGAGGGGCUCAUUUGAAAUAAUUCUUUCCCCUCCAUAAAUUCAUACUCUUAAUGUGGCAGUUUGCUUUAACUAAAUGUAGGGGGCCAGUGUAAAUAUGCCUCUUUGAAGCAUUUAACAUUGUAAAAUCUGUCACACAGCAUUACCAACUCUUGCAAGCUCCAAAAGUCAAGCCAAUAUGCAAAAAUCUCAGCUCUUACUUUUUUUUUUAAGUUAGUGUCUAGCCUUCAUGGUAAUGGAGGAAAGCUUGAAUACAUAAUCAGAGUUUACCCAAAAGGAUAAAAAAAUAAAGGUAAAUAAACAGAAACCAAAAGGCAUUUAAAAGAAAUGAUUUUUAAGACAAUUAUUAUUGGGGGGGUGGUUGACUCAUGAUUUUUUGAAUGUUAAAGGUUAGAUUAUGUCAUGUCUCAGGGGACUGGUAAUGGGCUAUGGAGCCUUCCAUCUCUAGGUUCCCAGUCUGAAUCUAGCACAGAUUGACUAUGACUAAAGAUUUUUACAUCUGAUGACUGUUGAGUGGUCUGUGUGAAGUUAAUCUGAUGAGUUCAGUCCAAUAACUAAUGGACACGUGCCCACAGCACAAAGUGAGCACCAUAUAUGCUGUGGGAACAUGACCAAGCAUUUCAAAAGAAGAUGGUAGCAAAAGCUCUCCAUUGAACGAGCUAAACCAAGGACUCAUUAAUGAAGCUUUGUUAACUGUAUAUAAAAUACUUAAUGUCAUUGCUUUUAAAAAAGUAUGGUGUGAAGUCGAUGUGUUUUAAUAAUAAUAUCAUGUGUCGUAUGUGGGGGAUACAAGCGAUACAAAGUAAAAACAGCAUUAAGCAAUAUAGAACAAGAAAACUUGCCCUCUUACCACCACAGAAAAGUUAAAUAUUUAAUAUAAGAGAGGUGACAUCAGUUGGUGCAAAGUAAGAAAAUUAACAAGGGUCCAACACGGGGAAGUUAAAUGUGGACUCACAGCAGCCCAUAUGAUGUGGAAGAAGUUUGUUUUCCCUCUUUAACUACUGUUGCAAGACAAUGCAAGGUCUGGAAACCCCCAGACUCAUACUGCUGUUUGCAGCUGGGGGGACAAUCACAUGUGCAGGUGUAAUGUCUUACAGACAGAGUUGCUGGCAGGUGAAUUCAGUCUGGGAGAACAGUCUCCAGACUGCACUAUAUGGUUCAGAUGCUGGGAUGUUGGGUAAAGUAAAAACUGACUACAUAGUAAUAACAAGCAUAAAGUGGCAGCUGAAACUGACCACUUCUGAUAUGUUCCCAGGGACUGUUAUUAUAAUUGGCCUAUGUUUUAUUUCACACUUAGAUUUCCUGUGGCGAUAAAUGGAAAAAUAUAUUUUGUACCAGUUUUUUAAAAUGUAAUUAAAAUAAAAACAAAGUUAAAAUUACAAGAGGAUGCUUUAAAGGCAGAGCAAAUUUAUAUUGUGGCAUUACACCCCAGUGCGCUAUCCUAGUGAUAGUGAGCUUCCACCCCCAGGUUCGUACUUGAAGCUAUUGUUUAUGGUGGUUCAAAUGACUACAACUACUGUGGUCUUGGGAACAUGUUGCUGGGUAAUAAACUUAAAAAAGGAGGGGGGGUGGAAUAUAUGAAAAUUAAACAAAUGAUUAUGUAGAAAAGAAAAAAGGCAUGGAAUGUACGUCUGGCUUGACACAAAUAAUUAAACAUGGGGAAGGCCUCAUUUUUUGGAAGACAGGGAUAGGAAGGUAACGAGAGCAGUAGGCUGAAAAGGAAAUGUUUGUGCUAAGAUAAGUAAAUAGGUCAGUAAGGUAAAAGUCAGAAUGUCUGAGCUAGCUAAGACUAGAGGGGGAAUACCCCAGGAACCAUUUACAAAAACAAGAUAACAAUGGAUAAGAUAAAUUGGGAACAUAGAGAUGAGGUAAAGACUAAGAUGUGCAUAGACAGAGCAGGCUGUAUAGCAAUUGUUUCCUACAAAUUUACCAAGCUAAUUCCCAAAGUGUGAUGCAAUGUAAAGUAAAUGCAAUGUAAUAUGUAAAUGUAUACAAAGUAAGAUGUUUGCUUGUAGCUUUGGCUGUGUGGUACCCACAAUACCCACACCUACCCUGGAGUCUGAUCAACUCAGUGUAUGCCAAAGAAACCUGAGAGACGAGACUGAAAUUGAACUCAGUUCUUGGGGAACUGAGUUGAAGAGGUCUUGGGGUGGGGGAACUCAAUGUACCGGGGUUGCCGUAACACUAUUAUGCCAAAUUGUCAUAAACUUUUCUGGUAAUCUCAGCGGAAGGAAAAGCGUGAAAGAACAGGGAGAAUGCAAUAACCACCCGUUUACCCCUAGAGGUGGUGUUUCUGGACUGAGGUACAUUGUCAGGGCACCAUGGGGAAGCUUAUACUGCUGCUGCCCAUGCUCUACCUGUUUUGGGUGGGGUGAGUGGGGCUGGUUCAGUUGGAGGUGGCCCAGCAGCAAAUUUGGAAAGCUCAUUAUGUCCCACUCAACAGUGUGGAGGCAUUGCUAUUGCAUCCCUGGAGGAGCAGGGAGCAGGGAGGAGCAGAAUUCUGACCUUGGACUGAAGGAUGAAUGUCAUCUUUCCAGCAUCCUCGCACCAUACCUACGAAGAGCCUCAGUAUUUGGGCUUUGGGCAAGUGGAGUGAAUUGCACUGUCAGAGCAUACUGCAAAAUUCAUCUGUUUUCUUGAGCUUUUAUUGAGAAAGGGAACUAAUGGAGGGAAGUGAGGUGUUUAGAUGUAGAUAUUUAUUAUUAUUUCAGGGAAAUAUUCUAGUUGGGAUGUACUAUGUUUUGUAUAUUUUUAAAAAUUGUUUAUGUUUAUAAAAGUAUCUAUAGAUCCUGGGAAUCAAUUCUUGAUAUAAAUCUGAACAAACAUCCAUGUCAAGGUGUCAUUUUUGCAGUAACCUUUGAGAAUUUCAAAUUAUAACAAUGCUUUAAUUUAGGCACAGAAGUAAAGUUAAGAAGGGGGUAAACCCAAAAUGUGAGGAUAACUGAAGGAAAGGAAGUGGAUGAAUCCAAAACCAAAAAAGAAUGUGAAGGAUGAUCUUGCAACAAGGGGCUGCAGAGGGAAUCAGACAGCAAGCACUUGCACAAGGGACUCUUCAAUCCCAAAAGAUAGGUUGGGGACUAUGGGAGAGUAAGAAAUUGGAUGAGACGAUCAUGUUGCAUACUGCAGGGAUCUUAAAUCAAGGUGUGGAGAGCUGGGUGGAGAUGGGUAAUAAUUUUCAAACAGAUUGACUGUUCUUUUCAGUGGUGUGGUAGAUGUUCAUCUGAGAGCCAAUAUUCUGCCCUAGAGGUGUCAGGACACAGGCCCAGAUUUUCAAAAAUGUCUCCAUACAGUUUGCAUCUAAAUCCAUAUUUAUGUUCCUAAAUAAAAGUGUCCUGAUAAGCAUGAGCAGCUCCCAAUAACUUUUACAGCUGAGGGUGAUCAGCAUCUCUGAAAAUCAGGCCAUUUUUAUUUAGGAGUCUAAAUCAGGAUUUAGGUGCCUACUUUUAAGCAUCAGAGGGGUAGCCAUGUUAGUCUGUAUCCACAAAAACAAUGAGGAGUCCGGUGGCACCAUAAAAACUAAGAUUUAUUUGGACAUAAGCUUUCAUGGAUAAAACCCUCCCACUUCUUCAGAUGAAUGGAGUGAAAAUUACAGAUGCAGGUAUAAAUUUACUGACACACGAAGAGAAGGGAGUUACCUUACUAGUGGAGAACUAGUGUGUUAACAAGGCCAAGAGUGGACCACAUACACCUUGAUUGAAGUGGCCUUGUUAACACUGGUUCUUGUAAGGUAA